rnacentral:rRNA from 1 species
GACGAACGCUGGCGGCGUGCUUAACACAUGCAAGUCGAACGGAAAGGCCCUGCUUUCGUGGGGUGCUCGAGUGGCGAACGGGUGAGUAACACGUGAGUAACCUGCUCUUGACUUUGGGAUAACUUCAGGAAACUGGGGCUAAUACCGUAUAGGAGCUCCUGCUGCAUGGUGGGGGGUGGAAAGUUUCGGCGGUUGGGGAUGGACUCGCGGCUUAUCAGUUUGUUGGUGGGGUAGUGGCUUACCAAGGCUUUGACCGGUAGCCGGCCUGAGAGGGUGACCGGCGACAAUGGGACUGAGAUACGGCCCAGACUCCUACGGGAGGCAGCGGUGGGGAAUAUUGCACAAUGGGCGGAAGCGUGAUGCAGCAGCGCCGCGUGCGGGAUGACGGCCUUCGGGUUGUAAACCGCUUUCGCCUGAGACGAAGCGUGAGUGACGGUAAUGGGUAAAGAAGCACCGGCUAACUACGUG